GAGUUUGAUCUUGGCUCAGGAUGAACGCUGGCGGCGUGCCUAAUACAUGCAAGUCGAGCGAACAGACGGGGAGCUUGCUCCCCUGACGUUAGCGGCGGACGGGUGAGUAACACGUGGGUAACCUACCUAUAAGACUGGAAUAACUCCGGGAACCGGGCUAAUGCCGGAUAACAUGUUGGACCGCAUGGUCCUACAGUGAAAGACGGUCUUGCUGUCACUUAUAGGUGGACCCGCGCCGUAUUAGCUAGUUGGUAAGGUAACGGCUUACCAAGGCAACGAUACGUAGCCGACCUGAGAGGGUGAUCGGCCACACUGGAACUGAGACACGGUCCAGACUCCUACGGGAGGCAGCAGUAGGGAAUCUUCCGCAAUGGGCGAAAGCCUGACGGAGCAACGCCGCGUGAGUGAUGAAGGCCUUCGGUCGUAAAC
rnacentral:rRNA from 1 species